AUGGCUACUGGAGUGGAGAGCCAACUUCAUCUACACUUGGCUUAUUCUGCACCCAUAAAAAUCAAUGAAUGGCCUGAUGAACCAAAUGAAAACAACGAAGCAUAUGAAGAUGAUGGAUAUCCAUCAAAAUACUCAGGUGCAAUGAAAAAUGAAACCGUGAUCAAAGAGAUAAGAACCCAGAGAGAUCAUGAUAUAGCAUAUGCUAUACCAAAAAGAUACAUCAAAUGGAAUCUAGGGAAUAUGGAUUUAUAAAGUUCAAUCCAAAAGUGCCCUGUAAUCCAUUCUCAUAUAUCACUACACUAUGUGAAACAAUAAAUGCAUUAUUUAAUCAG
rnacentral:lncRNA from 12 species